rnacentral:telomerase_RNA from 1 species
UCCUUCACUACUAUCAACACGCGCGACGCCUCCCCCACAGUCCUCCGGUCCUCGUUUCUCGCAAGGGAUCCUAUUGUAGGCACCCGUAUCAUUUGGUUACCCUCACAUAUGCCGCUCUCGAGCCUGUAACAGGACGUCGUGAAUGCCGCAGCCGGAUUAUGGUGGGUAGCGCGUCCUGUGUAGGAUGUACCAAGCGGGCAGGUGAACGAGGUUCGGAACUUAACCCUAAGAAGAUAUCUGGUUAUCAAGUUUUGCGCUCUUGUCGCCCAAGUCGUCUUUUAUGCCGGUGAAGCACCAGCUGUCAUGAUGCCCGCUGAAAAGUUGGAUGAUUGACUCAUGGCGCUACUGCCGACGGACAGGCGAGGAGGGCAGUCCAGUCACCAUUUGGUGCGCGAGAGGAUCGGUGCCAUGAGUCGUUUGGUAAGAGCCUCUGGUCCGAGGACGCUCGUCAGCCCUUUCCGCUGGAACCAGCACAUUGGUCAAGAGUAGACCGUCUAGUCGUUGUGAUUAGCUCUGGGUUUUGGGGAUGGAACUAGUCUGACCACUUGUUCAUAUUGCUAGCCUGCUCAUUGCGCACAAGCAGCUGAGAAGUGGAGCUUCGGUUUGGCCUUCAAACAGCCAGUCACUGAAUUUCAUUCAUGUCCCGAGUUUUCGCUUGCCGGAACCGCCAGUUAGGGUAAUUCCAUCUGGUGCAGUGGGCAACUCGUGGAAACACACAGAAAUCCAGCGACUGACAUAUCUUGCCAAUCGUAUAGCUCCCGGUCCUUCACAGCUGCUCGUGGCAUGGUGUGUUGCUGCACUACAUAUCUCCUAACCCGUUCGCACACUGGACCACACCACAGCACUUGCUACCGGUGUGUGACGCUCCGCGUCUGGUCUGACCAAGCGCAUUAACCUCCAGCCAUGGGUCACAAUCCCUUGGUCAUGAUGGGCGCCAGCAAGCCUGCAAGGAUCAGAAGGUCUGAACAGGUCCCUCAGAUCCGCCGAAAGGUUGAACUGAGAUGAAAGGGUGGUUUUUAUGGAUGUCUUUUGUCCACCCGUCAAAGCCCUCCAUACCUCUCGCUGGCGAGAAAUUUGGAGAGGAAUCAAAAACUAGUCCUAGUUGGCAGCGCGAAUCAUACAGAAGGAGCUCUCUCGUCAGUGUCGGUGGGUUUUCAGACUGCGUUCUGCCAUGGCAACCUUUUGGUGGAGUCGUGUUUACGAAGGUACUGGGGUCAUUAUGGGAUCGUCAGCUCACGACACAGUCUUCACCUUUGCAAUGGCCGUUGUUGCAGGAGGAUACUUGCGGUUGGUGUUGGAAGCAUCACCGGGACCCAUCUCGAGUUGGAGUCAAAGUUUCGUGCUUGUCUGGUGCUGUGAAAGACCCUUUCGUCAAGUUGAAUUUCACGACUCUGGCCGCACUGUUGAGGCUGGGUUGUAUUGUUGGAUCUAGGACAGGCCUUGUUGGGUAGGGUAGUCCUGGCUGUUCUCUCGCCUGAAAAUGGUGUGGAGGACAGCCCCCCGCGGUGAGG